AUUGAACGCUGGCGGCAGGCCUAACACAUGCAAGUCGAGCGGAAACGAUGGGUGCUUGCACCCAGGCGUCGAGCGGCGGACGGGUGAGUAACGCGUGAGAAUCUGCCCAUUUGUGGGGGAUAACUCGGGGAAACUCGAGCUAAUACCGCAUAAUCCCUACGGGGGAAAGCAGGGGACCUUCGGGCCUUGUGCAGAUGGAUGAGCUCGCGUCGGAUUAGCUAGUUGGUGGGGUAAAGGCCUACCAAGGCGACGAUCCGUAGCUGGUCUGAGAGGAUGAUCAGCCACACCGGGACUGAGACACGGCCCGGACUCCUACGGGAGGCAGCAGUGGGGAAUCUUGGACAAUGGGGGCAACCCUGAUCCAGCCAUGCCGCGUGUGUGAAGAAGGCCCUAGGGUUGUAAAAGCACUUUCAGCAGGGAGGAAGGCUUACUGUUAAUACCGGUGAGUACUUGACGUUACCUGCAGAAGAAGCACCGGCUAAUUUCGUGCCAGCCGCCG
rnacentral:rRNA from 1 species